UGGGGAAUAUUGCACAAUGGGCGCAAGCCUGAUGCAGCCAUGCCGCGUGUAUGAAGAAGGCCUUCGGGUUGUAAAGUACUUUCAGCGGGGAGGAAGGGAGUAAAGUUAAUACCUUUGCUCAUUGACGUUACCCGCAGAAGAAGCACCGGCUAACUCCGUGCCAGCAGCCGCGGUAAUACGGAGGGUGCAAGCGUUAAUCGGAAUUACUGGGCGUAAAGCGCACGCAGGCGGUUUGUUAAGCCAGAUGUGAAAUCCCCGGGCUCAACCUGGGAACUGCAUCUGAUACUGGCAAGCUUGAGUCUCGUAGAGGGGGGUAGAAUUCCAGGUGUAGCGGUGAAAUGCGUAGAGAUCUGGAGGAAUACCGGUGGCGAAGGCGGCCCCCUGGACGAAGACUGACGCUCAGGUGCGAAAGCGUGGGGAGCAAACAGG
rnacentral:rRNA from 1 species